UACGUAGGGUGCGAGCGUUAAUCGGAAUUACUGGGCGUAAAGCGUGCGUAGGCGGUUCUCCAAGUCCGUUGUGAAAGCCCCGGGCUUAACCUGGGAAUGGCAUUUGGGACUGCAAGGCUGGAGUGUGGCAGAGGAGACUGGAAUUCCUGGUGUAGCAGUGAAAUGCGUAGAUAUCAGGAGGAAUACCGAUGGCGAAGGCAGGUCUCUGGGCUGACACUGACGCUCAUGCACGAAAGCGUGGGGAGCAAACAGG
rnacentral:rRNA from 1 species